rnacentral:rRNA from 1 species
UACGUAGGGUGCAAGCGUUGUCCGGAUUUAUUGGGUUUAAAGGGUGCGUAGGUGGCUUGUUAAGUCCGGGGUGAAAGCCCACAGCUCAACUGUGGAACUGCCCUGGAUACUGACGGGCUUGAGUACAGACGAGGUAGGCGGAAUGGAUGGUGUAGCGGUGAAAUGCAUAGAUACCAUCCAGAACACCGAUUGCGUAGGCAGCUUACUAGGCUGUAACUGACGCUGAGGCACGAAAGCGUGGGGAGCGAACAGG